rnacentral:rRNA from 1 species
AAUAGAUACCCAGGUAGUCCACCCCGUAAACGUUGGGAACUAGUUGUGGGGUCCUUUCCACGGAUUCCGUGACGCAGCUAACGCAUUAAGUUCCCCGCCUGGGGAGUACGGCCGCAAGGCUAAAACUCAAAGGAAUUGACGGGGACCCACACAAGCGGCGGAGCAUGCGGAUUAAUUCGAUGCAACGCGAAGAACCUUACCAAGGCUUGACAUACACCAGAACACCCUGGAAACAGGGGACUCUUUGGACACUGGUGAACAGGUGGUGCAUGGUUGUCGUCAGCUCGUGUCGUGAGAUGUUGGGUUAAGUCCCGCAACGAGCGCAACCCUCGUUCUAUGUUGCCAGCACGUUAUGGUGGGAACUCAUGGGAUACUGCCGGGGUCAACUCGGAGGAAGGUGGGGAUGACGUCAAAUCAUCAUGCCCCUUAUGUCUUGGGCUUCACGCAUGCUACAAUGGCCGGUACAAUGGGCUGCGAUACCGUAAGGUGGAGCGAAUCCCAAAAAGCCGGUCCCAGUUCGGAUUGAGGUCUGCAACUCGA